rnacentral:lncRNA from 1 species
AUUCUCUUCUUCUCUUUUUCUCUUAUUUCAAGCAAUAAUAAUAAAUCUCUCAUUAAUAAGAACAAAUCAAGAUUUAAAGCUCAUCAAAAGUAAGUUAUUACUAAUUUUUAAAUUUUCUUUUUAAUCUAUAUUUAAUUUAAGUGUUUUGUUAUUGGAUAAAAAAACGUGGUGGAGUUGAAUUUGGUAUUGAAAUCAUUACAAAGUUUCUUCUCUUUAUUUGCCUUUUCUACUCAUCAUUCACUAGUAAGUAAUUUGGAGGAAGCCUUGUUGUUGGUCUUGGUAUUCAAUUGCGUCCACCAAACACCAAAACAAUUUGAGCAUCCAAAAAAAUUUAAAUCAAAUCAUGUUAGUAUUUAUACACUGCCAUUUGAGCAUCAAAUCAUUUUAGUAUAUGACUAUAAAGAUUAAUUUUUUUUUUCUUGAGUUUUGGAGAUCAGUGAAAAAGAAGAAUUAAGUGACACUUUUUUGUUUGUUUGUUUUCAUUUAAUAUUAUAUAAAACUGUAAUCUUAGUUUUAUGACUAAGUAUUGUUCUUCUUUGCUAAUCGACUAAUGGAUUUGUUUUGCGUAAUCAUAUAGGUUUCAUUGUAUGUCUAUGAUGGAUGAGUGCAAUACUCCAAAUACAAGCACCACAGAUGCCGAGGUUAGCCAAAAGAAGCAGAAAACAAGGGCUAUCUAAACACAAUGGAGUUUCCGCGGUAUGGUCUCAUUUUCACAAAGUUCUUAUUGAGGGAAUAACCAAAUAUGCGGGUUAAGCUAUUUGUAAGUAUUGUAAUACCACAAUUGAUGCACCUUCUUGUCAAGGAACUAAUAAAUUGUGGAACCACCUCAAAAAGAAGAAAUGUAAGGAGUUCCUUGGUUUUGAAAAAGAUAAGUUGCAAAAUCUACUUUCUUUUUCGGCCGGAGGACAACCUUCUACUUGGAGUUUGAUCAAGAAAAAUGUCGUAAUGCACUCACAAAAAUGGUUAUUCUUGAUGACUUCCUUUUAGUCUUGUUGAGAAUGAAGGUUUCAAAUUGUUUCAUGAAGAAAUGCAACCUAAGUUUUAUAUGGUAUCAAGAUCCACUAUAACUAGGGAUUGUUUUAAAAUGUUUCAUGUGGAAAGAAGCAAGUUGAAAGGGUAUAUGGACGAAAUGUCAUCAAGGGUGUGCCUUAUAACCGACAUGUGGACUUCAAUCCCAAAUCUUGGAUAUAUAGUUGUAACGACACACUUUGUUGGAAGUACGAGCUUUUGUUCACAUAACCAUAAAGGGAAUGUGUAGAUUUUUUUACGCAUUGUUUUCGUUUGGAAGUACGAGCUUUUGUUCAUUUUAUUUUGCAAAUCAGCACUCUCAAAGUCUUCUUUUGUAAAAAUGAGUGCCAAGUAGUAUCACAAGAAAGGUUAUCCCACUUCAAAAACUGGCAAUAUCACAAGGGCUAUUUCCAUAUACUUUGAAGUUUGAAAUAACAUUAGAUAUGUUUCUUUUCUAUUUAUUGCGUCGUGUUUACUUUUAGUUUACCAUGUCAAAUUUUAGUGUAGAAAAUAGGGGUGUUAAACUAGCUGAGCUUUGUAUGUUCAAGCUCGGUUCGUUAAUAAACGAGCUGAGCUCGAGUCGAGCCCAAAUUUUAUACAAGCUUUAUUUUAUGUUCAAGCUCGGCUCGUUUAGCUAUAUGAACAAGCUCAAGUCGAGCUUUUAACGAGCCGAGCAGUUUAACAGCCCUAGUAGAAAAUACAUUGGACUAUUUCACUUCACCAAUAAUUCUGAAUGAACUUGCAGUAUUGUAAAAACUAUUUGGAGAAAAUAGAUGGUUGUGUCAGAAUUAAUUAGUUAAUAUAUUUCAAUGCUGUCUGUCCUGCCUUGCAGAACUUUGAUGUUGAGAAUUGCAAAAAUGGCGUUCGCAAGUCUUUUAAAGUAUAGCAUGGAACCUUGUGUAUUCCAACUUAAACUCAAGCUGUGACUGCAAUGUGGUUAUCAAUGAUAAUACUAUGGUGUAUGAUUCAUGCACAUUUCAAGAACAUAAUUCUGCAAAAUAUAAUCAGUGUUCAGCUGCAUAAUUGGUGUCUCAAAAAGUAAGGGACCUAUUCCUAGAAGAAGAGAGAACUCAUGCAUGAUUCCUGCGGCAACAAAGGGGAAUGGUAUGUGAUGGUGGAUUGCUCUCAGCCUUGCAACUCAAGAAGGGGAAGAAGGGAGAAAGAACUUAUCUUGCUGCACUGAAGCUUUUUUCCAUCUCAAUUUGAAGUUCGCAACAAUACCCCAGUUUUUAUCAAAUAAAGCACCUAGGCAAAUCAGUUUAUUACUCC